UAUGGUCAAAUCAUGCUGAAAAUAUUGCUUCUUGUUUGAUUACUGAAGUUAAGCAGUGUUGAGCCCAGUUAGUACUUAGAUGGGGGACCACUUGGGACCACUGGGUAUUGUAAG